rnacentral:tRNA from 1 species
GAUUCAUUAGCUCAGUAGGUAGAGCACAUCCCUUUUAAGGAUGGGGUCCUGGGUUCGAGCCCCAGAUGGAUCA